ACGUAGGUGGCGAGCGUUAUCCGGAUUUACUGGGCGUAAAGCGUGUGCAGGCGGGCUGUCAAGUGGUGUAUGAAAUCGCUCGGCUUAACCGGGCGCGGUUAUGCCAGACUGACAGUCUGGAGUGCGGGAGAGGGGCGUGGAAUUCCGGGUGUAGCGGUGGAAUGCGUAGAGAUCCGGAAGAACACCGGUGGCGAAGGCGGCCCGCUGGGCAGGAGCUGACGCUGAUGCGCGACAGCGUGGGGAGCAAACAGGA
rnacentral:rRNA from 1 species